CCUACGAGAGGCAGCAGUGGGGCAUAUUGCACAAUGGAGGAAACCCUGAUGCAGCGACGCCGCGUGAGCGAAGUAGUAUCUCGGUAUGUAAAGCUCUAUCAGCAGGGAAGAAAAUGACGGUACCUGACUCAGACGCACCGGCUAACUACGUGCCAGCAGCCGCGGUACUACGUAGGGAGCAAGCAUUAUCCGGAUUUACUGGGUGUAAAGGGAGCGCAGGCGGCGCGGUAAGUCUAAUGUGAAAGCCCGGGGCUCGACCCCGGGACUGAAUUGGAAACUGUCGUGCUGGAGUGUCGGAGGGGCAAGUGGAAUUCCGAGUGUGGCGGUGAAAUGCGUAGAUAUUAGGAGGAACACCAGUGGCGAAGGCGGCUUGCUGGACGACAACUGACGCUGAGGCUCGAAAGCGUGGGGAGCAAACAGGAUUAGAUACCCCUGUAGUC
rnacentral:rRNA from 1 species